CCUGGCUCACGAUGAACGCUGGCGGCGCGCCUAACACAUGCAAGUCGAACGAUAGAUGAAGAGCUUGCUCUUCAAAUCGAGUGGCGAACGGGUGAGUAACGCGUGAGGAACCUGCCUCAAAGAGGGGGACAACAGUUGGAAACGACUGCUAAUACCGCAUAAGCCCACGGCUCGGCAUCGAGCAGAGGGAAAAGGAGCAAUCCGCUUUGAGAUGGCCUCGCGUCCGAUUAGCUAGUUGGUGAGGUAACGGCCCACCAAGGCGACGAUCGGUAGCCGGACUGAGAGGUUGAACGGCCACAUUGGGACUGAGACACGGCCCAGACUCCUACGGGAGGCAGCAGUGGGGAAUAUUGCACAAUGGGGGAAACCCUGAUGCAGCGACGCCGCGUGGAGGAAGAAGGUCUUCGGAUUGUAAACUCCUGUUGUUGAGGAAGAUAAUGACGGUACUCAACAAGGAAGUGACGGCUAACUACGUGCCAGCAGCCGCGGUAAAACGUAGGUCACAAGCGUUGUCCGGAAUUACUGGGUGUAAAGGGAGCGCAGGCGGGAGAACAAGUUGGAAGUGAAAUCCAUGGGCUCAACCCAUGAACUGCUUUCAAAACUGUUUUUCUUGAGUAGUGCAGAGGUAGGCGGAAUUCCCGGUGUAGCGGUGGAAUGCGUAGAUAUCGGGAGGAACACCAGUGGCGAAGGCGGCCUACUGGGCACCAACUGACGCUGAGGCUCGAAAGUGUGGGUAGCAAACAGGAUUAGAUACCCUGGUAGUCCACACCGUAAACGAUGAUUACUAGGUGUUGGAGGAUUGACCCCUUCAGUGCCGCAGUUAACACAAUAAGUAAUCCACCUGGGGAGUACGACCGCAAGGUUGAAACUCAAAGGAAUUGACGGGGGCCCGCACAAGCAGUGGAGUAUGUGGUUUAAUUCGACGCAACGCGAAGAACCUUACCAAGUCUUGACAUCCCUUGACGAUACUGGAAACAGUAUUUCUCUUCGGAGCAAGGAGACAGGUGGUGCAUGGUUGUCGUCAGCUCGUGUCGUGAGAUGUUGGGUUAAGUCCCGCAACGAGCGCAACCCUUAUGGUCAGUUACUACGCAAGAGGACUCUGGCCAGACUGCCGUUGACAAAACGGAGGAAGGUGGGGAUGACGUCAAAUCAUCAUGCCCUUUAUGACUUGGGCUACACACGUACUACAAUGGCGUUAAACAAAGAGAAGCAAGACCGCGAGGUGGAGCAAAACUCAGAAACAACGUCCCAGUUCGGACUGCAGGCUGCAACUCGCCUGCACGAAGUCGGAAUUGCUAGUAAUCGUGGAUCAGCAUGCCACGGUGAAUACGUUCCCGGGCCUGUACACACCGCCC
rnacentral:rRNA from 1 species